rnacentral:ncRNA from 1 species
UAAGUGGGAAACCCACCUCAAAACUAGUUCUUCCUAUAGAGCCGUAGUAGACCACUACGUUGAUAGGCUGGAUGUGGAAGCGUGGCAACACGUGUAGCUGACCAGUACUAAUAGCUCAAUUGGCUUGAUUUA